rnacentral:tRNA from 1 species
GCCGGUGUGGUGGAAUUGGCAGACGCGCGGGACUCAAAAUCCCGUUCUGGCAACAGAAUGCGGGUUCGACCCCCGCCACCGGCA